AAUGUAGAGGGCGCUGCUUGGCAGCAAAAUGCAUAUUAUGUAGAAAGGAAAAAGGGAAACGAAGUAGCGGUUGAUCAGGCAGCAUAAUUUCUAUGAAGGUUGGUCCACCUAAUAAAAGGACAAAUGUGCAUCUUAGAUGGGAAGUUUCUAUUUGUAAAGAAAGAAGUAAAAUUGAUGAGGAUGGAUGCGUCCAGACCAUGGCCCAGGAAUUAGGCCUGCUGCUGAAACUGCUGUCAGUGUGGUCUUUUACAGUUUGUAAAGCGUUGCCAUCGUCUACGUCACCGUUCAGUCUGCCAUCCCAUAUGCCCAUGUAACCCCAUAUGGUUGGUAGAUGGCUCCCAUCUUCAAUCACUAUGAGGAAGAAACAGUUUUGAAAUUUGAACAGAAGAUAAAAAUAUUUGUUAACAUAUGUUGUGCGUAAUAAUUCGUUAUUUAGAUGUAAUUUGUUUACAUUUAUAAUUCAGUAAUGUAAACUGGAUUUUAUCCCUCAGUUUGUUAAUGUAUAUUCGCGCUUUUAUUUUCUUAUUUCAAAGAAUUAAAAUAAACAGCAUUAAGGAAUUGUAAAA